rnacentral:rRNA from 1 species
GAAAUAUUAACUGUUUCAUUUAAAUUUUUAAUAGAAUUUUAUUUUUUAGUCAAAAAGCUAAAAUAAAUUUAAAAGACGAGAAGACCCUAUAAAUCUUUAUAUUUUAUUUAUUUUAAUUAUAAAGAUUAUUUUUUUUAUAAUAAAUUAAAAUAUUUUAUUGGGGUGAUAUUAAAAUUUAAAAAACUUUUAAUUUUAAAAACCAUUAAUUUAUGAAUAAUUGAUCCGUUAAUAACGAUUAAAAAUUUAAGUUACUUUAGGGAUAACAGCGUAAUUUUUUUGGAGAGUUCAUAUCGAUAAAAAAGAUUGCGACCUCGAUGUUGGAUUAAGAUAUAAUUUUGGGUGUACCCGUUCAAAUUUUAAGUCUGUUCGACUUUUAAAUUCUU